UACGAAGGGUGCAAACGUUGCUCGGAAUUAUUGGGCGUAAAGCGCGUGUAGGCGGCUUUGCAAGUCGGGUGUGAAAGCCCUCAGCUCAACUGAGGAAGUGCGCCCGAAACUGCAGAGCUUGAGUGCCGGAGAGGGUGGCGGAAUUCCCCAAGUAGAGGUGAAAUUCGUAGAUAUGGGGAGGAACACCGGUGGCGAAGGCGGCCACCUGGACGGUAACUGACGCUGAGGCGCGAAAGCUAGGGGAGCAAACAGG
rnacentral:rRNA from 1 species